CAGUUCGGAUUGUAGUCUGCAACCCGACUACAUGAAGCUGGAAUCGCUAGUAAUCGCGGAUCAGAAUGCCGCGGUGAAUACGUUCCCGGGUCUUGUACACACCGCCCGUCACACCAUGGGAGUCGGAAAUGCCCGAAGUCUGUGACCCAACCUGAGAGGGAGGGAGCAGCCGAAGGCAGGUCUGAUGACUGGGGUGAAGUCGUAACAAGGUACC
rnacentral:rRNA from 1 species